GAAAUGCGAUACGUGAUGCGAAUCGCAGAGAUCGGCGAGUCAUCCAACCUUCGAACGCAACUUGCGCUCUUGGUCACCCAAGAGCACGUCCGGCCGAGCGUUGCCCUUUAUUUCUUAUUCUUACAAAUAGAUUUUGAGUUUUGUUGUCUGAAAAGGCAUCACUCUGAGUAAAAUAAUGUAUAAAUAGAAUAUAACACUUUAUAUAUUCAAAUACAUUGUACUCUCAUAACAAUCAAGUUGGAGAGUCUGAUAUUGGUGAGUUUAUGACUACUUGUAUCAGAGAUAUUCAAUAAGAUGAAUGAGUAUACUUGUAUUUGUAAUCUAUCAAGUGUCUAUUUCAUACAUAAUUCCAAGUGCAAUUUCUUUUGGACCAACCUCGGAUUGGGCGUCAUAACCCGCU
rnacentral:misc_RNA from 1 species